rnacentral:lncRNA from 1 species
CAGAAUGUCUGCUUUCCUACCAGGAAGAGUGGCUUGGCCCUCUGCUGAGGCUCUCAGAGGUUCUCCCAGCCUUGGGAUCGCUGAGUAAAACCAGUCAGCACCAUGUCACCCUAUGGAGACUGGUAUUACCUUGCGCCUGUGUGUGGUGACAGCGGGCAUCCUUUGGCCUGCAUAGCAAAGGGCCACUCCCCUCCUUUCCUCCUGUCUCCCUUCUUCCCCAACCCCUCUCUCUUGGAGGACAGAGUCUGCUCCCCUAAAUUCUACUGGGUUCUUUUUCAGGCCUCCAUCCCUGGGAUUUGCUGGUAGAAGAAAGGGAAUCAGCGCUGACUGAGCUCCUACUAUGUGCCCUUCCUGGGCCUGGCACUGGAAUCACAGGAUGAAUGAAUAAGGCAUAUUUCCUGCCCUGAGGAGGCGUCUAUAGGGGAAGUCGGAAUUAAGGCACCUCCAGAAUUCUGAGGUCAAGGGAAUGUCAACAGAGCUGUGAACAAAAUGCCCAAAGCCAUGAAAAUCUACAGAGAGAGACUCGAAGGGGAGGAAUGGGGCCAGGCUGAGGUCGGGAUGGUGGAGGAGGUGGUGGAGGUGAUGAGGUACCAGAGCAACCUCGAAGAAAGCUGAGAGGCAGGAGACCGCCAAAGGCAAACUUGGAACACCUGGUGACUCCGACUAACUCUCCAUGUGGUGUCCUUGAGGACUUUUAUGAUACUGCUACCACUGCUAAUAGUAAUAAAAGCCACUAUUUAAUGUGUUUACUAUGCGCUGGGUGUGCAAAUAUUGUGGAAAGAGUGAACAUAUGUGCAGAAUGCUUAAUAAACGUGAUCUCCUUUUAUCUUCAAAA